AUUCCAUAAUCAAAUGUAAUAUCUGUUCUUAUUGGGUUAACAUCUGAUAUGUCUUCUACUUGAUGACAAUGGAUUUUGGGAGGCUGGAAUAGGGGCUUGCUCUGUCCUUUCUGCGCAUUGAACUGGUAUUGUAGUAUCUCCAGGAACGAUACACCUCCU
rnacentral:snRNA from 1 species